rnacentral:rRNA from 1 species
GAUCCGCUCAAGGAUGAACGCUAGCUACAGGCUUAACACAUGCAAGUCGAGGGGCAGCAUGUUGGUUGCUUGCAACCAAUGAUGGCGACCGGCGCACGGGUGAGUAACGCGUAUCCAACCUACCCUUGUCCAUCGGAUAACCCGUCGAAAGGCGGCCUAACACGAUAUGCGGUUCACAGCAGGCAUCUAACGUGAACGAAAUGUAAAGGAGAAGGAUGGGGAUGCGUCUGAUUAG